rnacentral:lncRNA from 1 species
UCAUAACCCCAUCUUCUUAUCCUAUCAUCCACAGGGAUUUUAAACUUCCAUAACCUCCACAUGAGAAAUGCCAUUUUAAAAGGUAGUCCUUUCACCCAUACAUCCUUCAUGAUUUUAUUUGGCUGUUCUUUAUGUCUUGUGUAUUGCCAAGCUGACCUAACUAUGAAAUUGCCUUUUGCUUCUUGCAUCCACCAUGGUCUAUCCUUCCCAUUCUCAUCUGCUGGGGCCUUCACUUUACUAAUAAUGUGAUUAACUAUAUCCUCUGGUACCAUUUCUUUUAACUGCUAUACAUACCACUCUCCAUGUCUUACCACUUCUUGGAUUAGUUGUUGAUUAGUAUCCCAUUCAUAUCUUUGCCCACAAAUUGUGUAUAAAUCUCCUAUUCCUGUCCAAUUAUCAUGCCAUAAACUGACUGUGGCAUUUUUCGUUUGCCACCAAAUUUGAUGCUCCACCUGAUCCCUUGCUUGAAGCAUCUUCUCCCAGACUUGUGUCCCACCAUAUCCCGUGUUCCACAUAAUCAUCUGGGGUGUUCUUUUUUACAAUAUUUAUUUCUCAUGAAUUCACUCCACAUAGACUCUUGAGUCCUAAAGUUCCACCACAGUUUACAGAAUAGUGCCAUAGACACAUCCUGUAGCAUUCGGAAACCCAGUCCUCCUUCUUCAACUGGUAGACAUAAGUGUGCCCAUCUUGUCCAGUGUCUUCCUUUCCCCCCUAUACAGCUACUCCAGAAAAAUUGAGCCAUCAUCUUAUGAAUAGUACUGAGUACAUUUAAGGGAGGAUUCAUCACAGAUAAGCAAUGUAUAGGUAUACUCUGUAGAACCUGUUUAAUCAGAACAACUGUUCCUCCAUAUAAUAGAAGCUUUCCUUUCCAUGCCUGCAAUUUAGAACUCACUUUUUGGACCAUUUGCUUGUAAUAACCUUGUUGUUUUCUCAAAUGAAAGAUUGGGCAUCCUAAGUAUGAUCAUGUCAUCUGCAAAUGCCAGAUGAUUAAUCUUUGGACUACCUCUUGGCAUUCCAAACAUUUUGAACUCCUUCUUCUUCAAUAACGAGUUCAAAGCUCUUUACAUCACUACUGCAGCUAAAAUGAAUAAGGUGGGGGAUGAUGGAUCUCCUUGUUUAAUUCCUCUAGUGGACCUGAAAAAUCCUCUUGGUUGUUCAUUCAAUAGUAUAGAGUACCAAUUAUUACUCACCAAUCUAUAUACUAUGUCAAUCAAUCUUUCUCCAAAUCCCCAUUUUUCUCAAAACCUUUAUCAAAUAUAGCCAUUCCACCCUAUCAUAUGCUUUCAUCAUGUCUAGUUUAAUAACCAGAUUAGGUGGAGAACCUCUUUUUCUGAAAUAUUCUCUUAAUACUUCUCCCUUGAACAAACCCUGCUUGCUCUUUGGAUAUAAUAUUUGGUAGGAGCCCUUUUAUCCUCUCAUGAAUAAUCCUCGAAAAGAUUUUAUUCACAAAAUUGCUUAGUGAAAUGGGUCUAAGAUCAGAGAAGGAAAUGACUACCAGUUUUUUGGGAUUAAGACCAAAUUUGUAAGCGUAAUGAAUCUAGGCAGCUCCUCACCUCUAAAAAAUGCCUCCACCAUUUUGUCUAUAUCUUCCCCAAUUAUCUCCCAUGUCUCUUGAUAAAAAGCCCCCGUCAUCCCAUCUGAACCCCCUGUACUAUAUUUACUCAGCCCUAUUACUGCUUUAUAAACUUCCUCCCUGCUUGGCCCCUUAAUCAACUCUUUUUUUUCUCCCCAUUGAUCAUUGAUGGAAUUUCCUGCAACAUUUCAAAGUCUGUGUGCCCCUCUUGACGACUAAAUUGCUUUGUAUAAUACCUUUGCGCCUCUUCUGCAAUUUCUUCCUGAUUAGUUAACCAAUCUCCGUCUUCAUUCUGAAUCUUUUGGAUUCGGAGCCUACUUCUUCUCCCUUUUACAAUAGUAUGGAAUUUUUUUUAUUUCUCUCCCCAUCUUUGAACCAUUCAUAACCUGCUUUUUGUUGCCAGUAUUCCUCCUCCCUCUUCAACUGCUUAUACAGGUCAGCUUGGGCCUUACUGAGUUUUCUUCUAUUCUCUCUCGUAGGGUCCAUCUCCAAUUGGUUCUCCAUUACUCUGAUGAUGUCCUCUAAUGUAGCAAUUUCUUUAAAAAUAUCACCAAAAAUUUCUACAAGGUGUGUUCAAUUUCAAUUAAAAUUCUUGGAGGCUACUCAAUCUUAAACCUUAGUUCAUGUCUAUAUAAAGGAUACUAUGUUUUCUUGAAAAGGCAUCUCAAAAAUUUCACCAUAAAUUCAUGGAAUAUUUAUAAAGAGAUCAAAAUCAAAUCAUCUCAAUUCAAAAAAUAUGCUAUUAACAGCCCUCAAGUUAUGAAGAUCAAGUCCAAAUCAUCAUAGUUCAAGAAAUACAUCACUAACGACCCUCAAAUUAUAGAAAUCAAGUCCAAAUUAACCAAGUUCGAGAAAUACGUCACUAACGACCCACGAAUCAUGGAUAGUUCUUAUGAGAGAAGAAUCAACGGAGGAACAAAAUUGUACCUGCAAUAUUUAUCAAUAAGUUGUGUUUCUUUAUAUUUUAUUAGUGAUUGUGAUUUAUUUUUUGUCACUUUAAAAUUUGUUGCAAACAAAUUGACACGCCCAGUGGGACCAAAUAUGCUCUUCAUCUCUUUUCUCAUGAAUCAAAUAUGAAAAUCUAAAGUUGCAAAGGUGGAAGAAUGAGUACUUCAAUUCUCUUUUUGAGUUGCAUCAAGUCUGCAUUCCGACAAUCCUUGAAGCAUGGGCAUUUAUAGACAUUGAAAUUAUGUGGGACUCUACAAGAUGUGCUCAAUUCGAGUUGAGACUCUACAGGGUGUGUUCAAUUUCAUUUAG